rnacentral:misc_RNA from 1 species
CGCGCAAAUCCUCUUCGCAGAGGCCGUUCUUCGCGUGGAUAACCGCGACGGGCACUUCGCCGAGGCGCUCGUCGGUCGCUCCGAAGACGCUCGCCUCCGUCACGUCCGGACAGGCGUAGCAUUGCGCUUCGACCUCAGCCGCGGAGAUGUUCUCGCCGCCACGGAUGAUGAUGUCUUUCUUGCGGUC